GCAAAGAAGAAGUUUGUGCUUUACAUUAUGGGUGAGAAAAAUAUUCUGCUUUGCCUUAUGGUGCUUGCGCUCCUAGGAAAUUCCAGUUGCACUGAGCAUUGCGUGGAGUGGAGUACCCCUUGCGAGCCCAUGCUGUGUGAGAAUUUCAAAUGCUAUUUCAUUUGCGCACGUCACUGGGACAAUGUCAAGAAAGCCUACUGCGCCGGCACCUUUUUUUUCCGUCAUUGUAAUUGUGUCAUUUGUAACUAGAGUUGCACUCUAGCAUCAUGCCAAAGAAUGGACAAUGAUGUCCAGCAAUAAAAUCUUCUUGUGACUUG